rnacentral:rRNA from 1 species
GACCCUGUUGAGCUUGACUCUAGUUUGACAUUGUGAAAAGACAUAGGGGGUGUAGAAUAGGUGGGAGCGCAAGCGCCGGUGAAAUACCACUACCCUUAUCGUUUUUUUACUUAUUCAAUAAAGCGGAACUGGGUGUCAAAGCCCAACUUCUAGCAUUAAGGUCCUUCGCGGGCUGAUCCGGGUUGAAGACAUUGUCAGGUGGGGAGUUUGGCUGGGACGGCACAUCUGUU